UACGUAGGGUGCGAGCGUUGUCCGGAAUUACUGGGCGUAAAGAGCUCGUAGGUGGUUUGUCGCGUUGUUCGUGAAAUUCCCUGGCUUAACUGGGGGCGUGCGGGCGAUACGGGCAGACUGGAGUACUGCAGGGGGAGACUGGAAUUCCUGGUGUAGCGGUGGAAUGCGCAGAUAUCAGGAGGAACACCGGUGGCGAAGGCGGGUCUCUGGGCAGUAACUGACGCUGAGGAGCGAAAGCGUGGGGAGCGAACAGG
rnacentral:rRNA from 1 species